CUCCCGCAGCACCUGUCGCCCAGUACGCGGGCGGGGAGGACGGCGCGGGGCAUGGCCUGGUAGGGUCUCCCGGGGAGACAGUACGGAGUCCAGUCCCGGGCAGUGCAGGCGAGGGAAGGACGGUCCUCCCCGGUGCCCGCGUGGCCGGCGGCAGCAUGAAAAAGAACCCGACGGUGCAGGGCACCUUCAGCAAACUCUUUGGCAAGAAGCACGCCAACCCGUCCGCCACCUCCCUCUACGCCGCCAAUCCCCCCUGGAUUUUCACCCAAGAGGCCCCGGAGGUGGGGACCCGGAACUUGGACGGGAUCUAUUUUGGCGACAACCGAUUUGACACUGUGAGUGAGUCAGGAACCGCCACGCUGAAAUCUCGGCCCAGAGUCCGACCCCUACUGACUUUUCUUCCACUGGACGCCCAGGAGAACCAUGGACUGGCUGUGCCCACCCCCUCUGUCCCAGACAGCUUUGCAGACAAACAAGGCGCCAGCACACUUGUCAACGGCAACCUCCGACUCUACAGCUCUAUGGGGGACCUAAGGCCUGGGCACUAUGGCCAGGACGCCUUCAUCCCUCCACCUCCCCCAGGCCCUGCCCCACCGCCACCCCUAUACACGUCACAACCUCAGGGGGAGUCCUCACCACCACCCCCACCCCCACCUUCUGUAGCUCCCCCACCCCCGCCCAGCACAGCCCCCCCUCUGUCCCCAGUAUUGGGGGCCCUGUCCCCUCCAUCCACCCUUUCCCCCCCCUCCACACCCACCCCUCCUGACUUCAUUCCCCCUGCCCCACCCUUGGCUGUUCAAGCCCCACCACCUCCCCUUUUCCCAGCCCCAGCGCCCCCAGCUCCUGUGCCUCCUCAUACACUGGAGACACACCUCUUUCCCACUGGGGGUGUCACCAAGUGGAAAUCAGAGGUUGCGCUGAAUGGCAGGCAGCCUGAGGUCCCCAGAAGCAGCCCCCCCAGGAGCCCGGCUGAGCCAAAGGGGAGCCUCCUAGGACCUCAACCGGAGUCCCACCUCACCUUCCCCCGCUCACUCAAGGUGCCUCCCCCGACCCCAGUCAGGACUUCGUCCAUCUCCACUCAGGAAGUGCAAGGGGCUCUUCCCAAGGAAGAGGGGGCCACCAAGAAGCCCCCCAGUCGACUCCCACUGCCUCCCAGCUUUCACAUCCGCCCCGUGUCCCAGGUCUACCUGGACAGGGCUGCUGAGCCAGACCACCCCGAGGGGCCCGGGGCUGCGGCACCAGCCAGCCCCAGGCUGGGCCAGUCCCAGGCUGGGACAAAUGUACAAGCUGAGACCCCACCUCCAGCCCCUCCCCUGCCCCCUCCUCCACCCCCACUUCCUCCCCCAGCACCCCCUCUCCCCCCUGCUGCCCCUCUUUUGCCACCUGCUGAGAAGGCAGCCCCUCCACCUGCUGGGUUGAUGAAAAGCCCCAAGUCCAGCCCUCCUGCUCCCAAACCCAAACCUGACCCCCCAAGCCUGGAGGACACAGCCUCUUCAGAGUCUGUGGAUUGGCGGGAUCCCAGCCAGAUGGAAAAGCUGCGGAAUGAGCUGUCAGCCUAUCUCUCUGGCUGCAGGCGAGAGGACCGAUGCGUCAGUCACAGACCAGGCCCAACUACAGCCUCUCAGGGAAAGGAGAGCAAGAAGGGCCCCAGACUGCCAGAGAAGGAGGCCCCCACAAGCCUGCCAGAGAAGGUGACCCCCCCAAGCCUGCCACAGAAGGUGACCCCCCCAGGCCUGACACGGAAGGAGGCCCCCCCAAGCCUGCCACAGAAGGAGGUUCUCCCAGGCCUACCACAGAAGGAGACCCCUCCAGGCUUGCCACAGAAAGAGGCCCCCCCAAGCCUGCCACAGAAGGAGGUUCCCCCAAGUGUUCCUCAGGAGAGUCCCUGCAGCCUGCCAGAGAGAGAGGCUGCCACUGGCCUGAGCCUACCCCCUGUGGACUACAUCCCCCAGGACUCGCCAACUCCCAGCGUCCGGCAGAUCAGGAACAAGCUGGAGGCCAGGUUUUCCUUAUCCGCAGAGAAGGAAGCCAAGCCCAGCACAGGGUUGCUGCCUCCCAAGCCACGGCUAGAAGGGGUAAGAAUCUUUGAAAACAGGGCUGAAAAUGGCAAAUUCUCCAAGCCUGUGGCCAAGAAUCCGCCAGCUCCAUCCACCACUCCUCUGCCAACCACGCCAUGCCAAUCCAAGGCCAUGCCUGGACCAGCCACACCACCCAAGGCCACACCUGAGCCCGUCAUACCAUCCUUGGCCACAACUCUGCCCACCACAUUAUCCCAACUGACAGCAGAGAAGAACCAAGUCCCAGCUAGGCAGGGGGAGAAGCCAGAAGGCCAAGGACUUGCAGUGCCCUCCAAACCAGAGACAGAAGGGCGCUCCUCAGAGGCCAGUAAGCCUCCUACACAGGAAGCCCUCUCAUCUCCAGCCCUCCCCACAAAGAUAUCUCCUAGCCGAGAAGAGGUGACAUUUCUCUACAAGCCCCAUCGCAGCCAGAACAGCCCUGGCAGAGAGGUGGCCGUGGUGAUGCCCACCCUGUCCAGAGGAGAGGCUGCAGGCUCAGGGGAGCCUGUGGAGGUGAAGGAGCCCCAGGGGCUGCCAGCCAAACCCCAAGCCUCAGCCCAGCCUGCUGAUCAACUCCUCAGGCACCCCGUGACAGGGGAGGUGGUGGAGCGGGGUUCCCCGAUGGCCCUACUCCUUGCAGCCCGGCAGAGGGCACAGAAGGGGAGGCCCAGACGAAUUGCCCUGGGCCGGUCCUCCCUACCAGGGAGUCUCCGUGUCCAUAGCCAGCCCGAGGCAGGCUCUGACGUCAUCUACAGCCAUAGCCAGCCCAACUCCUUCACUGUGGUCCCCAAGAUCUCCAAGGAGACUGAGGACCCCCAGCUAACCUCGCCAGGACAGCCCAAGUUACCCAGUCAGUGGAAGCCCCAGCCCAGCAGAGACCCAGAGGGCACUGAGCCCAGCCGCGGGCACAGCUGGACAAAGGCGGAGCCCCAGGCCCCCGCGGCCUGCGAAAGACGAGCGCUCUCCAACCUCCCCCAGGGCCGCCAGCCUCCCAAGUCCUUCUCUUCCCCUCCUUCUCCUUCCCGCAAGAGGGAGGAGGAGGAGUUCAACUUCGAGGUCAUCCCACCGCCGCCAGAGUUCAGCAAUGACCCCGAGCCCCAGGCCCUCCAAUAUGUGGGGCGCCGGGGCUCCCCUCCCCGGAACAACUUCUCAGACUCGGGGCCGCCCCGAGACGCGGGCCCUCCUCGCGGCUUCUCGCGCUUUCCCGCGGGUGCGGACCCCGGCGGCGGGGCUGGGGGCCUGGAGCGCUUCUCGCACGGGGGCCGUUCGCUCAUCAAGAAGCGCCUGUACGUCGGGGAGCCCCACCGCAGCUCCGGGCUGCCCCGCGGCGGUACCGGCUCCCCCAACUGCUUCGGGCCGCCUCCCGGAGGCCCGGAGAUGCGGCGCGUCACCUCGGCGGGCCGCACGCCCCUCGGCGGCCUGCACCCGCGGAAUAUGUCCCUGGAGGGCGCCGUCCGCGGGGAGGCCAAGUUCAAAGCGCCCGGCGGCGACUGCGGCUGCGCACCGGCUACCGGCAGGUCUCCCCACGGCAACGCCCACUACGGAAGCUCUAUCAACACAUUCACCGUGAGGCCUGGGACCCGCCAUCCCAUCUCCUAUGCCUACUCGGGGGCCCAUCGGAAGGCCCCAUCCUGAGCCCAGGGUUUUCUCGGUUCUACUCUGAGGGGUCGGAUCUGGGCACUUGUUUUUGUGGGGGUGGGAGGGACACAGCAGGUGUUAGGUAGCCUCACUCACUGAGGAGUCUUUGUUUCCCAAAGACAGACAGACGACGAGUGAAGUUGUGGCCCAGGAAGAUCAAGGCUGGAUUUCUGUUUCCCAAAGCACUAGUGUGGCUGUGGACUGUGCAGAUGGGGGUGGGAGAGGGAAAGAAGGAAGAGAGGAGGAACCUUUAAGGACCCGGGGCCCAAAUUUUCGCUGUCUGGUACUAUUUGCUUUAGCAAGGCUUAUUUAAAGCAGUUUUCCAAGCAGACCUACUGAGUAGGUUCUAAAAGCAAGGGCUGGGGCACUUACUGAAUGGGAGCCCAUCAGGAUGGCUGUGAUCACCACUCAGGCCCUCAUGAAGGGCCGAGGCCCAGCCCAGUCCUGGCGAGGGUGUAGGGUGCUACAGGUUCAUCUCCUUAUCCUCCAUCUGUCCACCAGCUGCCACUCUAAGAAUGGCACCUGGGAUUCCUAGCAUAGCCACAUUGAGGUGGGACCAGGAAUCUGCAUGCAUAACACAUAGUGAAGGUACUGGAGCAAAGUGCUUUGUAUUGACCAAGGGUAGGGAUGGGAGGCUUUUUGGUUCAUUUCUCUCUGGCCCUUAGCUACAGGAAGGCCUAGAGAGAGAAGGCUUUGGCAAGUUGGGGAUGGAAGACAGGAUUAAAGCUUGCUUUUCUACUCAGACCCAGGCAGCCAUGAUUUGGGGGAUGGGCCCAAGGAGCCAGAAAGCCUGGGGCUUAACACCAAAGGCCUCACAUGGUCAGGUGGCAUAUGGGAUUUGGAGGGGCACUGUUCCUAGUCGCCCCUCCCAAUCCCAAUACUACAGGCCCCCAACAUUAUCAAGGCCUUAAAAUGUGUCACCAAGAUGCUGGAAGGCCUUGGAGAGUGGGAGGUGACAGAGAUCAAACAGGUCUGAGAGGACUAUGCUGUCAGUGGGGAACGUGACUUGGAAAGUGAAGAGUGGCAAGACUGGGCCAGUUUGGAGCGGGGGAGCCCUAGCAGUAGGGUGACCAUUUCAUACUUUGCUUAGGAAGUCUGGGUUUCUAUCUAUUUUCCAGUGAAUUGGAACCCCUUACACUUUCAGAAAAGUCUUGGUUUGGAUGAUGUAUUGUCACCAAAUAUAUCAAGAUUGGUUCAUCUUCUGUCUUCAGGUCUUGGGCUGAAUUCCUGGGAUCAGGCCAAGGCAGGCUGCCUGGGUAAGGAGGAAGAGGGGUGCCCAGCUCAGAGGAGCAGGCCAGGAGCGGCAGCCAGGAAUCAGUUCCCCUUGGGGGCGUGAUGUUGGACCUUUGUGACUUGUGCUGACCAGCCAAGAUCCUUCAAGGGGAAGGAGCAGAGCUGAAGUGGGGUGAUAAACUGUGCCCUUAAGCAAGUCUCUGACUCUCUGAAUCUCAGUUUCUUCUUCUGUACCAUUGGCCCGAUAACCUACCUCAUAAGGCUGUUGUGAAGAUGAGAGACAGUCAUGCAUUCAUUUAACAAGGAUUCGAGUGGCUACCAGAUGGCAGGCACUGUGCUUAGCAUGGAUAUCCAGCGAUCAGCACACUAUACAACCCCUGCCCAUGGAAGACUGUGGGCUAGUGGAGUAGAGAAGAUGAAAGAACACACAGAAACAUCCUGUAUUAUAAUAAGUGGUAGGAAGGGAAGGAACAGGAAGCAUGAGAGUAGCUGGAGGGCUGCGGAGAGGAGUGGAUUCACUUUGACUGGCUGGUCAAGGAGCGCCUCUUGAAGUGGUGACAUUUAGGCCAAUUGAGUCCAGACAUCCAACACAUGUCUGGUACUCCGUAGCUGCUCAAUAAACUGCAUCUUUGG